GCCCUAGUAACGGCGAGUGAAGCGGCAAUAGCUCAAAUUUGAAAGCUGGCCUUUGGUCCGCAUUGUAAUUUGUAGAGGAUGCUUUUAGGCAGCCGCCGGUCUAAGUUCCUUGGAACAGGACGUCAUAGAGGGUGAGAAUCCCGUAUGUGACCGGCUCAGGCACCUUCUGUAAAGCUCCUUCGACGAGUCGAGUUGUUUGGGAAUGCAGCUCUAAAUGGGAGGUAAAUUUCUUCUAAAGCUAAAUACUGGCGAGAGACCGAUAGCGCACAAGUAGAGUGAUCGAAAGAUGAAAAGUACUUUGGAAAGAGAGUUAAAAAGCACGUGAAAUUGUUGAAAGGGAAGCGCUUGCAAUCAGACUUGGCCUCGGUUGUUCAACCGGUCUUUUGACCGGCCUAUUCAAUCGGGGGCAGGCCAGCAUCAGUUUCGGCGGCCGGAUAAAGGCCUUGGGAAUGUGGCCUCUCCUUCGGGGGAGGUGUUAUAGCCCAGGGUGUAAUACGGUCAGCUGGGACUGAGGUCCGCGCUUCGGCUAGGAUGCUGGCGUAAUGGUUGUAAGCGGCCCGUCUUGAAACACGGACCAAGGAGUCUAACAUCUAUGCGAGUGUUAGGGUGUCAAACCCUUACGCGUAAUGAAAGUGAACGGAGGUGGGAACCCGCAAGGGUGCACCAUCGACCGAUCCUGAUGUCUUCGGAUGGAUUUGAGUAAGAGCAUAGCUGUUGGGACCCGAAAGAUGGUGAACUAUGCCUGAAUAGGGUGAAGCCAGAGGAAACUCUGGUGGAGGCUCGCAGCGGUUCUGACGUGCAAAUCGAUCGUCAAAUUUGGGUAUAGGGGCGAAAGACUAAUCGAACCAUCUAGUAGCUGGUUCCUGCCGAAG
rnacentral:rRNA from 1 species